UGGGCGAGGGCCAGGUGUGUGGGCUGAGCUGGAGUUGGGGGGUUUAGAGGGCACCUUCUCUUGAAGGGCAAAUACCCUGCCAGAGGAUUUCCCCCUCUGGCUUGGCACAUAUUUUGGUCUUGGAAUCAUAGAAUUGUAGAGUUGGAAGGGACCCCCAAAGGGCAUCUAGUCCAGCCCCCUGCAACUCAGGAAUCACAGCUAAAGAACCCCUGCGGGAUGGCCAUCCAACCUCUGGUUAAAAACCUCCCGUGAAGGAGAGUCUCACCCUACCAAAUCUUUCUUUUGAGGUGGGUGUUGAAGAGGACUCUUGAUGGCACAGAGCAGGGCUGGGGGACUGGAAUUCCGGGCCACUUUGACAGGUGGACAGGGGGAGUGCAGUGCAGCAGGUAGAGCAGUGCUUCCCAAACUUUUUCAGGCCACCGCUGCCUUGGUUCCAUAACCUCAUCCCCAGUGCCCCCUACUCUGUAAAAAGCAUUAUUCAAAAUAGUGGCUUGCAUGACACGUUAAGGUAAAUAAUAACCCACUAGAAUUCAAAACAGUAACAGUUAAUUGCACAUUUAUUCAAAAUCCAGUUAACGCUAUUUAGCUUAAUUAUUUCAAGAAAACUGAUGAACUUGAUACAUUGAUACCAGCUUUUCGAAGUCUGAGUGUUAUUUACACCUCUAGCGGUCUCCCCCCUCCACCCUUUUGCCUCUUAGUGCCCCCCUAAGGAAUCACACUAGUGUUUGACUAAGACCUGGGGGACCAGAGUUCAAAUCCCCACUCAGCCAUGAAGCUCCCACUGGGUGACCUUGGGGGCUCUUGUCCCUGUUCCCAGGCUAAUCUACCUCACAGGGUUCUUGUGAGGAUAAGAUGUGCAGAGGGAGAACCAACCAAUGCCACCUUGAAUUCCUUGGAUGGAAGGAGGUGGGGUAGGACUGUUGUACAUAAAUAAAAAUACAUGACAGGUCAUAGGAUGUUCAAGGUGUGAUUGCAGAGGAAGAGGAAGCAGGAGAAGGUGCCUUCUUGACUCUUCCUUUACAGGCAAAAUCCUGCCCUUUUCCUGUUACUGUGCAGGGCAAUAGACGAAGAUGUUCCGUUAAAAAGCAGCCCAUUUUGCCUGUAAAGGAAGAGUCGGGGGUGAGAGCACUUAGAGGGGGCUCCAGCUUGCGGUCUCAAGCCUUACCUUGAAUUUUCUUACAUCUGAUUCACCUGCCAUCAGGGCUGGGAAAGGUAGGCGUGGUUUAUUUUGUUUGUUUUGUUUGGAGCAUUUGCGUCCCACACUUCAGCCCAAAAGACUCCCAGAGCAGCUUAGACUAGUGGACAAAAUUGUGGAAACCUUUUGGAAAAGGUGUAUUUCUGAGGUUUGAUGGCUCAUAACACCACUUUUUUUGGGGAGUAAUACCAUAAAAUUAUAUAUCAAUGGAGAGAUAAUUUAAUGAAGAAUGCAACAUUAAGUUCACUUACCUGUAUUCUGUAAAAAGUUAUACCUAAAUAACCAGAAAAGGGAAGCACAACUUCCUUAGGCUGAUAUGCAGUAGCGUUCCUUCAUUUGAAUGUAGCCAAUGAGCAUGAGUGUUUAGAGAGCCAAUCAGGUGUCGUCUUGUUUUGGCAAUGAUCCAAUCAGGUCACAGUAGGAUUCAGCUGUUGAUGUUAUGUACUGGAGCUGAGAGGAGGACAUUGGUCAGUGUGUUAGGUGAUUGCUAUCAAGUUGGUUGGUUUUUUUUGUGUUCUUUCAUUUAGUGAGCUUGUAAAAUGUAAUGAAAUUAAAGAAAUGGUGCAAAGAGUUGACUGGUAACCCAGAAAGCGAUGUAAAAUAGUACUGUUAAGUGAACAAGGCUACAGUUAUGAAGAAAUUAGAAGAAAAAUUGGUGGAAACUUAACUAAAGGUGGCAUUUCUAAAUUUUUGAAGAGGCAUAAGGAGACUCAGUCACUACAAAAUCAGACUGGUAAAGGUAGGAAAAGGUGCACAACAGCAAGUAACAACAGAAGAAUUGAGAGACUGUGGCUACGUGGCAGAAAAAUAAUCUGGGUGUAUACAAGAUGACAUGGCGCAAUGUAGUGUGAAGUUGAGUGCAAGGACUGUUUGGCGCAGACUUCAGGAAUAUGUUCUAAAUGCUAGAAUUCCAAGGGAAAAGCCACAGUUAUUUCUCAAAGGCUGAAAAGAUUAAACUGGGCUAAAACCCAACUGGACAGCAGAACAGUGGGACAGUGUUAUUUGGAGUGAUGAGAGCAAAAUCUCCUUGCUUGGUAGUGAUGGCGUGAAAUAUGUGAGGAGAAGAAUCGGAGAAGAUUUGCAUCCUACUUGCAUUACACCUACCGUGAAACACCCAGUUAGUGUUAUGAUCUGGGGUUGUAUGACAGCAAAAGCUGUGGGCAGAAUUUGCAUCAUUAAUGGGAAUGUAAAUGCCCCAAAAUACAUAAAUGAAAUACUUGAGCCCGAACUGAAGCGUUCCAGACAUGAUCUUUUCCCAGACAAUGAAGCAUUUAUAUAAAUAUUUAUUUAAUAUUUAUUUAAUAUUUAAGCAGGAUUUAGCUCCAUGUCAUGUUGCUGCUGUGUGCAAAAGGUGGUUUCAAGAUAAUCAUAUUCCACUGCUGGAAUGGCCUGGGAAUAGCCCAGACCUUAACCCAAUCAAAAAUCUAUGGAGCCAACUAAAGAAACUUGUUAGUCAGAAGCAACCCAGCAAUAAAACCCAAUUAAUAGAGGCAAUAAUUCAAUCUUGGUUUCACAUUAUUACAGUUGCAGAACUAAAAAACUUGGUUCAUUCCAUAGGAAGGCAUCGUAAUGCCGUAAUUAAAGCUAAAGUUUACCCAACUAAGUAUUAACUGACAUGGUGAGAAUUCUUGCAUAUCUCAUUUUUUCUAUGUGUUUCACGUUUCUUCUUUAUAACUGCUGUGAUAAUAAAUAAUCCUUCAUAAAAGUUAUUGCAUUACAUUCUUCUUUAAAUUAUCUUUCCAUUGAUACAUAAUUUUAUGGUAUUACUCCAAAAAAGAAGUGGUGUUAUGAGCCAUCAAACCUCGGAAAUGCACUUUUCCCAAAAGGUUUCCACAAUUUUGGCCACAAGAGUCCAUAUGAUCAAGACAAGACAAUCCCUACCUGCAGGCUUACAGUCUAUUAAAAACAAACAAACCA